UCACUGUGCCUCAGUUUCCUCCUCUGUCUAGUGUGGGUAAUAGUACUUGCCCCAGUAGAGUUCUAAAGAAUGUAUUUCUAACUUUCCAAUAUGCUUCAAAGUUCUUUACACUCUGGCAUAGAGUCCUUGCUGCUCUCUUGGCAGGGUUUCCUGGAAAGAAUUUACCCUCCCUUUCCUCGCCACCGCUGUUUACUUUAGAAACCAUCAGGACUCAACUCAUCAUGUCCUUUGUCCUUGUUUAUGUCAACAGAGGAUGGCUGUAAGUGUGUUUCAUUCAGCCAGGUGAUCGAGGUCAGCACCAACAGUGACAAAUCAUGUGCUAGCAUGAUGUGACAGUGGGUAUGAUCUGAUGAAGGAGGCAUUUUACCUCUAUGCCUCCUCCCUUAAACCCAUAACCUCAGUCUAAUCAUGAGAUAAAAUCAGGUACAUCCCAUCUGAGGGACGUUCUACAGAAUACUUGACUAGUACUCCUCAAAACUGUCAGGGUCAUCAAAACCAAGCAAAAGUCUGAGAAACUGUCCCAGCCAAGAGGAGCCUAAAGAGACAUGACAACUAAUGCAAUGUGGGAUCCUGGAUAGAAAAGGGAUAUUAGAGGCAGGGAAGGCAUCUUCAUACCUCUCCACCCUGUGAAAACCUGACAGCCACAGAAGUCUCAGCUCUCCAGCAAAGGCCUGGGUCAAGUUUGUUUUAACAGCCUGGAAGAGACCAGAGCAGACAGCAGGGAUACAAGCUCCCCACCCCAGUUCCUGCCAGACCACAUUCCAAGGAGACCGAUAGGCCAGCCGCAAGGAGAAAAGGAAAAAAAAUAGGAAAAAGAGAUGCAGCCAUUCACAGUUGCCUUUUGCCAUCAGCUGCCAGCAAUCACUUUUUCCCCUUUACUCCCAAAAAAACUUCCCAAACCUCUUAACCUCUCUGCUGGCACCUUUCCUUUCUUUCUCCUGUGCCAGUGCCCUUCCCACCCUUGGGAAGUAAAAUAAACUUUCUUUCUUUAAAACUA